CGGAGAGUUUGAUCCUGGCUCAGGAUGAACGCUGGCGGCGUGCCUAAUACAUGCAAGUCGAACGCUUUGUGGUUCAACUGAUUUGAAGAGCUUGCUCAGAUAUGACGAUGGACAUUGCAAAGAGUGGCGAACGGGUGAGUAACACGUGGGAAACCUACCUCUUAGCAGGGGAUAACAUUUGGAAACAGAUGCUAAUACCGUAUAACAAUAGCAACCGCAUGGUUGCUACUUAAAAGAUGGUUCUGCUAUCACUAAGAGAUGGUCCCGCGGUGCAUUAGUUAGUUGGUGAGGUAAUGGCUCACCAAGACGAUGAUGCAUAGCCGAGUUGAGAGACUGAUCGGCCACAAUGGGACUGAGACACGGCCCAUACUCCUACGGGAGGCAGCAGUAGGGAAUCUUCCACAAUGGGCGAAAGCCUGAUGGAGCAAUGCCGCGUGAGUGAAGAAGGUUUUCGGAUCGUAAAACUCUGUUGUUGAAGAAGAACAUGCGUGAGAGUAACUGUUCAGGUAUUGACGGUAUUUAACCAGAAAGCCACGACUAACUACGUGCCAGCAGCCGCGGUAAUACGUAGGUGGCAAGCGUUGUCCGGAUUUAUUGGGCGUAAAGCGAGCGCAGGCGGUUUUUUAAGUCUGAUGUGAAAGCCUUCGGCUCAACCGAAGAAGUGCAUCGGAAACUGGGAAACUUGAGUGCAGAAGAGGACAGUGGAACUCCAUGUGUAGCGGUGAAAUGCGUAGAUAUAUGGAAGAACACCAGUGGCGAAGGCGGCUGUCUGGUCUGUAACUGACGCUGAGGCUCGAAAGUAUGGGUAGCAAACAGGAUUAGAUACCCUGGUAGUCCAUACCGUAAACGAUGAAUGCU
rnacentral:rRNA from 1 species